GCCAGCAGCAUACCACCCUGCAUCCCACUGCUGGCUUGCUUCUAAAGCUAAGCAGGGUUGGUUCUGGUCACUCCCUGGAAUGGAGACCAAAUGCUGCUGGAA
rnacentral:rRNA from 1 species